rnacentral:misc_RNA from 1 species
CAAAAGAAAUAACAGAUAAGAUAAACUCCUUCAACAUUUUAAUACAGAAGCUUCUGAUUGUAAUACCCCCAGAUAAUGCUGAUGAGGUGGAUUGGGAAUAAUAUCAUAACCAGAAAGAAAUAUACAUCAAUUCUACAAAAUGAAAUUAGAAUAACUAUUUUGUUGGUGGAAAGAUUUCUCAGUAAAUAAAACAUUCUUUAUUUCUUUUGUGUGUGUGCGUGUGUGUGUGUUGUGUUCUAUGUUUUAUUUUAAGGAUUUGUUUUUAUAAGAAUUGUCACUGCUUUAGUUGCUAAUUUUCAUUAUCUUACUUGUUUAUAUUACAUGUAUUUGUAAUUGUUUCAUUUAACAAUUGGAUUUUAAGACUUUAAGCACAGAAAUUAAAAAUGUUGCUGUUAUAGGGAACUACCACCCCCACUCCCUUUUG